CGAAAUGCGAUAAGUAAUGUGAAUUGCAGAAUUCAGUGAAUCAUCGAAUCUUUGAACGCACCUUGCGCUCCUUGGUAUUCCUUGGAGCAUGCCUGUUUGAGUAUCAUGAAAUCUUCAAAGUAAAUCUUUUGUUAACUCAAUUGGUUUCUACUUUGGUAUUGGAGGUCUUUGCAGCUUCACACCUGCUCCUCUUUGUUCAUUAGCUGGAUCUCAGUGUUAUGCUUGGUUCCACUCGGCGUGAUAAGUUAUCUAUCGCUGAGGACACUGUAAAAGGUGGCCAAGGUAAAUGCAGAUGAACCGCUUCUAAUAGUCCAUUGACUUGGACAAUACUGUUAUGAUCUGAUCUCAAAUCAGGUAGGACUACCCGCUGAACUUAAGC
rnacentral:misc_RNA from 1 species